GGGGAUGUAGCUCAGUGGUAGAGCACUUGCUUAACAUGCAAGGCUCUAGAUUCAAUCCUCAGUAUCUCCU
rfam:Ictidomys tridecemlineatus contig026794, whole genome shotgun sequence.